rnacentral:rRNA from 1 species
AGAGUUUGAUCCUGGCUCAGGAUGAACGCUGGCGGCGUGCCUAACACAUGCAAGUCGAACGGAGUUCUUAAGGAAUGCGACUUCGGUCAAAUGACUUUUGAACUUAGUGGCGGACGGGUGAGUAACGCGUGAGCAACCUGCCUUUCAGAGGGGGAUAACAUUUGGAAACAGAUGCUAAUACCGCAUAAGAUUACAGUACCACAUGAUACAGUGAUCAAAGGAGCAAUCCGCUGAAAGAUGGGCUCGCGUCCGAUUAGAUAGUUGGUGAGGUAACGGCUCACCAAGUCGACGAUCGGUAGCCGGACUGAGAGGUUGAACGGCCACAUUGGGACUGAGACACGGCCCAGACUCCUACGGGAGGCAGCAGUGGGGAAUAUUGCACAAUGGGGGAAACCCUGAUGCAGCGACGCCGCGUGGAGGAAGAAGGUCUUCGGAUUGUAAACUCCUGUUGUUGAGGAAGAUAAUGACGGUACUCAACAAGGAAGUGACGGCUAACUACGUGCCAGCAGCCGCGGUAAAACGUAGGUCACAAGCGUUGUCCGGAAUUACUGGGUGUAAAGGGAGCGCAGGCGGGAAGACAAGUUGGAAGUGAAAUCCAUGGGCUCAACCCAUGAACUGCUUUCAAAACUGUUUUUCUUGAGUAGUGCAGAGGUAGGCGGAAUUCCCGGUGUAGCGGUGGAAUGCGUAGAUAUCGGGAGGAACACCAGUGGCGAAGGCGGCCUACUGGGCACCAACUGACGCUGAGGCUCGAAAGUGUGGGUAGCAAACAGGAUUAGAUACCCUGGUAGUCCACACCGUAAACGAUGAUUACUAGGUGUUGGAGGAUUGACCCCUUCAGUGCCGCAGUUAACACAAUAAGUAAUCCACCUGGGGAGUACGACCGCAAGGUUGAAACUCAAAGGA